CAGCUGUACCUGUCCCCUUGUUGUCUAAUAGGGUACGACUUUUAAGUUCAGCAAGUUGAGGAGGCUGAGCUGUAACCAAACCAAGAAUUUGAAGCCAUUAGCUAAAAUACUUAAUUGUUUCUGCUUGUAACAAGACUGUGGUAUAUAAUGAUUAUGCACAUGAUAGUUUUUAAUUGAGAACUUAGCAACUUGUUAUUGUUUCUGCCUGAUUUUUGACAUGAAGAUCUUUUGAUGGGGUUGUGCAUAGGUUGUAACUGCCAUAUUGUCUUUUACUGGCUUUAGAGCUGAAUGGAUCUUUGUGUCAGUCUUUGGUUUCUUGGUACAUUAGCUUUGUUUAAGAAAAAUUGACUGCUCCUUCAGUGCAAAAGUCCUGCUGAUUUUUAAAUAAUUUGAGGGCAAGGAGCAGCUAAAUCCACUCUUGAGUGGCACCAGGGUUCAACUGAUGUGGGCUGUUCCAGGAUGUGUCCUUUCUACAUAGGUUCAAGCCCUUAAACUGGGACAUGCUAGAUAUCCUUAACAGAGAAGAUCACAGAGCAGUCCUCAAUAAUAAUUUGUAAGGUAAAUGACUGCUCUAAAGGAGAUAUUUGUAUUUUAUGGAUGAGUUUUGCUUGGCCAGAAUGAAAUAAUGUUUUAGCCAUUUAGAAAUAGAUACAUAUUUCCAGCCUGACCUUUAUUUUAGUAACUGUAAUAUACCAGAAGGAAAAAAACACCAAGGUCAUACUCGAAAGUUCUGGUGUUCCUUCAUUGUGAGUAACACUGAUCAUUUUUUAGGCAAAAUCAGCUGUUACCUAGGUGGCAGCAGUGGUGCUUAGUGUAUUGGAAACACCCAAUGCUGCCAGUGCCAGCUUUUAAGUGUGGUCUGUAGAGUAAAAUGGACAGUGCUGUAUCAAUUUCACUAACAAGCAAAGACCAGUUUGAAACAAGUUUUGACAGUCCUCGAUGUCAGUCCUGGAGAGCCAACAUCAGAUACUUUAUUUCACAGGAAAAAAGAGUUUUUCAUGUCACUCACCCAGGGAAUAUACAGGUCAUGUUGCCAGGCAGUGAGAAAAGAAAUGAAACAAAACCUGUCAUCAGAAUCUCUGUAAAGAGAUUCUAAUUGUAUCAAUAAUGCUUUUAAAAACAUGAGUUACUUAUUGAUUUUUGAAAGCCUAUGAACAUAACAGCUAACUUUGAUUUCUUCUAACACUUCGCUAUUGACUCUCAGCUGCAGAAGACUGGAGCAGUUUUGAAGAGUGAUGCAUAUAGAGGAAUGCACUGAUCCCAGAAAUAAAGCAAAAAGGAUGAAGUGGAAACAGGGGUGGUUUUUGCUUCCCAGUGCUUUGAAAAGGAAUCAGUGUAUUUUCAGAAUUUUAAGUACAGGGCUUGUGAGGAGAAAAAAAAAAAUCUCUACUAAAAUAGUCCAAAGGUUGAUUUAUUGAUCAAUGUGCUUUACAAGUACUGUGGCCACGUCUGCCAGUGUUCCUCUGUACUGUGCAGAGAUUGACCUGUCAAUGAAAAAGAGACAGAAACAUUUAGUUUGCCCCAAGUCAAUCAGUUCAUGGCAGAGCAGGAAUGGGAUUAGUAUCUAAUUUCAAAUCUCUCUAUCAUGAUAGUGUAGACACAAAGGAAUUUCGGUGAUGUGAUGCCUCUGAUUUUUAGAACUUUUACCUCAUGAAAGGCUGAUGCACCUGUUCUGAAGGGGUUUUAGGAAAACGAGUUUUGGCACAAGUCCCUCCAUUUGGGCAGAGGAGUGACAUCCUGUAGGCUUUAAGUGGCAAUUAAGAGCACGAAUAGAUCGCUGGAAGCAACUGCAGUAAAGUGCUGCCACCUAAUUGCUGAACACUUAGGAUUCCUAGUAACAAGUAGUCUCUCUCCUAUGGACUGCAAAGUAAGUUAGGCUAUUUCUUGGAAAUACAAAGAUGAUAAAUAUCCGCAUACUUAAUUUCUGUUGGGAUCUCUAGUUAAUCUUUUCUUUUGGCCAUUCUGCCAUGUGCUAGAUGUUUAGGUUUUCAGGCUGUGAUAGGGAUGUACUCUUAGGCUGUACUGAGAACCUCAGUGUAGAGAAGGUGUGUUUCUGUUCUUGCUUUCUCAUGUAAAGCUUCUUUGCUGAGACCCUUUCUCUGCUGCUGUGUUUACUGUUUAGCCUCACUACAUUAAUUUUGCCAUUAGGAAGAGCUGUUCUAGAUGAAAUAGUACUGAUUUGUAUAUUUUGAGGUGGAUUCAUAGAUGUUGCCACAAGAUUAUAGUUUCCUCUAGUAGGAAGAGUGGUGUUAGUUCUGAAAGCAUCAUGCAGGAUUUUAGAUGACAUUUGAAAACUUUCAGGUUCUGAUGGUAUUCUUUGUGUUCUAAGUCUUUUAAUGAUCCAGUUGUCUUCAGAACUGACAAGUUAGUAAUUUGAAGAUUUGAUGCACAGAUGUUCUGUUCCUGCUGUGGGUACAGAUGAUUUUCUUAUAUUUAUUCCUAGUUGCUGUAGUUACUGUCAGUGCAGAAAAUUGUAGUGUUCAGUAAGUGAUGGGUUUUUUGAAAGCACGCAAGUGUUUUCUUCUGUUUCCACCAUGUGCAAUCUUGGAUAUAAACCCUAGUGGAAUUUUGUCAGUGCUGGUCUGCAACUUCAAGUUUUUCUUCUAAAUCCAUUUAGUACCUUCAUUCCAGAUUUCACACUCUUUCCAAUUUCCCCCUUUUUUCCAUAUCACCAGGCUGCUUUUGUUUGUUGUCUUUUCCACCUAUUUUGAGGAGACAGGUGGUAAUGUUUUGUCAGACAAGCAUGACUCCCAGCUGUGGAUUAAUUUACUUGCUUAAGUACCAACAGGUGCCUCUGCAUUCUCUAGGGGGAUACACAUUUCCUUUCCUCUGGAAUCUUUGUACUUUCCAUCAAUGCUUGACCCACUGUCCAAAUCCCCUGCUAGCAAAUUCUGCUGUCUUUCCUUUCAGAUGUAAUAAUUCCCUCAGCCUCAAAGUAAUACGCUUUCUGUUGUCUACCUUUUCUUCUUUUCUUUACAUGCAUCUGCUUAAACAGGGUCAUGGUCUGAAAUUAUUCUUUGAUAUUUACCAUUUCCAUGAUUCAAUUUUUCCUCCAGGUAUUUUUGAAACUGGGCUGUUGUACAAAUGCUGGCAACAGUAGCUCCUGUACAUCAAGUUUGUAUUUUUUCUGUUGAGGGUCAUACAUUAAAAAUACAGGUAUUUUAAGAACUUCACUGAUGCUUUCCUUGUGUUUGUUAUCCUAGUCUACCUUAGGUUUGGGUGUUCUCAUUAAAGCAAGCCAGAUUACCUCACAGUUUAUCCGCUUGAGCAAACAAACUAUAUUUGCAUUUCUUUUCUGUUGAGAUAUGUGGCAGCCUCCAAGUAGCAGAGCCAAAGAUCUAAGUUUGAACUGAGUCUCCUGGAAAGGACUCGGGAUCUUUUCACGGCUUUUUCAGGAAGAUGGCUACUGAGUGUCAAGUCGGCAGGUGGGGGCUUCUCAUUCUGAUGUCUUUGAUCCACAACAAUCCUCUCAUCAGGAGAGAAAUACUUGGGGCUGAGUCACACCUUGGACCAGGACAUCUAUCUAGCUGAGAUUUCCACUUGAGAGAGAAGAGUCCUACUCUGAAAGAGCUGCAGACAGCACAGCACACAACAGAUGGGAGUGGGGAGCCGUGUGAGGCAGAGACUGCAGCUUUCCUCCAGUGAGGCUCUCUUCCAGCCCCUGGACAGCUCUGUCUAUAGUGUGCUAGGAUUCUUUGAAAUUGGCAUUUGCUUCCCUGAAGCUGUUCUGUCAGAAGAGUCUUGAUCAACUCUGAGAUCUGCAGGACAAUGUCAACUUUUCCUGCAAGAGACUUUAUUCUGCUUACAUGUGCAGCCUGAAAGCCUUGAAAGCAAGCUGCUGUGGAAAGGAGUGAAAAUUCAGUUCUUCAGCAAAGAGGAAGGUUCUCUGGCUGUCAGCUCCCCCUGCUCCCAAGUUCAGCUCAUGGUCCGUAAGUUGUUCCGGUUUUACUUGUGGCACAAGCUGUACUGGUUGGCAAGGCUCUCCUCCUGCAGACUUGACUUUGAAACUUCAGCAGUUGAGGAGAAGGAAUAUAUUUGAAGCUUGCUGAAAGGACUUGGUGAGGAUUGCAUUGGGGCAGCUUGUUGGGUUUGGUCAGCGGAAUGGCAGAAUCCAGGCAAAGGACAGGAUCCCCCUCCAUUACUGCUGGCUGCCACGUGAGGAUGGACCUGUGUCGGUGGGACACUGCUGUCACUGUGUGUUUCCCCAUGAAGAAGGGGUUCUCACUGUGCUAUCACAAUCACAGGAGAAGUGGGAGAACUACAGGCAGACAUCCUGCACUUGUGGCUACCAGGUUUUUAGGAGAGACGAAUGGUGCUUUGUGUGUAUUCCAUAGCCUGCAGAUAGGAGAAAUCAAAAGUGCCGAGCUGACAACUUAAACUUUGUCAAGUAAAAGGUUGGUUGGUGGCUUUCUCACAGUUUUCAUCCCCCAUCUUAGAACUAUUUGCAAAGCUGAGCUAUUAAACUUCACAGCACUAAAGGAGAAUGGCAUCUCUUGAACUGUGAGAGUUGAGUUACUGAUCCACCCCCAGGAAGUGAUUCCCAUAACUGACUGCAAGUGAGAUAAUUCCUCGUGGUGUUCUGCUUUGAUGGACACACAAAGGUACCAACACAGUGUGUGGCUACAGGUGCACAGGUUUUCUGUAACUGUUUUAGUGUCUAAAUUCCCAAAGACUCCUGAACAAGCAGGUUUCUUCUUUGUUUAGAAAAGUAAACCAGGCUGAAAUUAGAAGCAUCAGUUGGAAAUGAUAAAUAUUCAUUACCUUGGGAGUUGAUGCAGUUGACCAGUAUUGAUUUCUGCUGCUGAGGAUUGUGUUCUAUGCCCGAGUGUCUGACUGUGACACUGAGAUCUGGGUGGUGUUUGCCCUGGGAUGCCCUGUGCUUUGUGGCUGUGACAUCAGGCAUUUUCAAACCUCAGGAAUUCAAGCUGUAAGUAAUACAGACCCAGUGUAAUACUGGCAUUUCCAGACUGCUUUGGUCUGUCUUCUAUCCUGUUUGUCACUCAGAGAGCCUGGAUGUUCCUGUGUGCAACAGCAGGUCCUAUUCAACACCAGGAAGUGACAGAGGAUGUGGUGUUGCAGCCCAGCUGUGCUUCCCUGGGCUGCUGUAAUAGGAGAGACUGCUCCCAAGCCUUUGUCCCUCUCCAGCUGCACAAAGUUCAUCCUCACUUUGGGAAGAUGCCAUAUUUAAUCCUCUUGCACCUGGGCAAGACAUGCCACACAUAGGUGCAGUGACUAACAGAAGGACACAGCAGCCAAAACCAAAUACUAGAGACAGCUUUGUCUUGCAGAGGGUUCGUUGUGAUCAAAUUGUUAUUCAGGAACUUGUCCUACUGCUCUCAAUUGAAUCUCAGCUCUGUGCUAUAAAUUUAAUCCUCAGACAUUUCUGUACAAAUUCACAGAAAGUGCAUUUGUGCACCUUUUAAACUGUAACAUAGGUAUUUUUAGCUGUCAAUAAGUAUUUAUGAUUCAACUUUAAAAUGCCUUUGUCCAAGUUUGUUUUCAUCUUUAAAAGAAUGACUGUCCAUAUGCUUGGAAGUAUUUACAUAAAGUCCUAGACUUGUCUGCAUUAAUAUCCUGUUCAAAGUGUUGGGAGUUGAAAUAUAAAAGGGGAGAAAGAAAGGGAUGAAUGUUAAUUUGUUUUUAAAUGUUCAAAUGUUGUGUUUCCAAAAGAUAUGCCUGGCUUUAAAUUGCAGAAAUUCUGAAAACUAAUGUGUUUAUAAACUUGAGUGAUAGGUAAUUUUCACUCUUGUCUGUUACUGAUGAACUUGUUCAUUAAUUUCACUACUUUUAACAUAAGUACUAAGCAUUCAUACUCAGAGUUCAUGCUGAUACAAGACUUAUUUGAGGAUUAGUUUAUCCAGGCUUUUGCUUUUGGAGUGACAUAUAUUUCUUUAGGCUCUAGUACCAAGAAUGCACCCUUUUUAGCCACAUGUAACAAAAGCUAAAUCAUAUUUGCAUAUCAGCAAACCCAACAGAAUUUAUUUUGGAGAGUAACAGCUUUAAAGUGUCCAUACAGUAGAGUGAGUGAUGUAUGAGCAAACAUGGUUCAUUUUGCAGGAACUGCAGUCUUUUCCUGUUCUCCUUUUUUAUUACAUUGCUAGGCUAACAAUAAAAACUUGGUAUUUGAGUUUUCUUAUUAAAGUGUGGUGGUGGAAGGAGGAGUGUCAAUUAAUGUCAAAUUCAACUGAAAAAUGUUAUGAUGAAAUGGUCAGCAGCAGGUGAGGAUUAAGAAAAGUGGUAAAGCCCACAAUGGGGAACCACAUUCAAUAGCAACUUUCUGGCACAGGAAUAAACAUGAACAUGUUGCUGAGAUUUCCAAGUACAAUUUAGUUUGACCUUUAAUUAAGCAGCAAUCUCUACAAGGUAACUUAAUUACCUUAUCCCUAGGGUGGUCAUGUAAGGUAGGUGGCAUUGUUUGUGUCACUUAUGUACUGUAUAGGCUUAAGAAAAAUACACAGAGAAUAACUCUUUCCU